rnacentral:rRNA from 1 species
UACAGAGGGUGCGAGCGUUAAUCGGAAUUACUGGGCGUAAAGGGCGCGUAGGCGGAAGAAUAAGUUAGCUGUGAAAUCCCUGGGCUUAACCUAGGAACUGCAGCUAAUACUGUUUAUCUAGAGUGCGGUAGAGGGUAGUGGAAUUUCCGGUGUAGCGGUGAAAUGCGUAGAUAUCGGAAGGAACACCAGUGGCGAAAGCGGCUUCCUGGUCCAGCACCGACGUUCAGGCACGAAAGCGUGGGGAGCAAACAGG